AUUGAACGCUGGCGGCAUGCCUUACACAUGCAAGUCGAACGGUAACAGGUCUUCGGAUGCUGACGAGUGGCGAACGGGUGAGUAAUACAUCGGAACGUGCCCGAUCGUGGGGGAUAACGGAGCGAAAGCUUUGCUAAUACCGCAUACGAUCUACGGAUGAAAGCAGGGGACCGCAAGGCCUUGCGCGGACGGAGCGGCCGAUGGCAGAUUAGGUAGUUGGUGGGAUAAAAGCUUACCAAGCCGACGAUCUGUAGCUGGUCUGAGAGGACGACCAGCCACACUGGGACUGAGACACGGCCCAGACUCCUACGGGAGGCAGCAGUGGGGAAUUUUGGAAAAUGGGCGAAAGCCUGAUCCAGCCAUGCCGCGUGAAGGAUGAAGGCCUUCGGGUUGUAAACUGCUUUUGUACGGAACGAAAAGACUCUUUCUAAUAAAGAGGGUCCAUGACGGUACCGUAAGAAUAAGCACCGGCUAACUACGUGCCAGCAGCCGCCGUAA
rnacentral:rRNA from 1 species